GAUGAAGAACGCAGCGAAAUGCGAUACGUAAUGUGAAUUGCAGAAUUCAGUGAAUCAUCGAAUCUUUGAACGCACAUUGCGCCCCCUGGUAUUCCGGGGGGCAUGCCUGUUCGAGCGUCAUUUCACCACUCAAGCCUCGCUUGGUAUUGGGCGACGCGGUCCGCCGCGCGCCUCAAAUCGACCGGCUGGGUCUUCCGUCCCCUCAGCGUUGUGGAAACUAUUCGCUAAAGGGUGCCGCGGGAGGUCACGCCGCAAAACAACCCCAUUUCUAAGGUUGACCUCGGAUCAGGUAGGGAUACCCGCUGAACUUAAGCAUAUCAAUAAGCGGAGGA
rnacentral:misc_RNA from 1 species